rnacentral:lncRNA from 1 species
ACUAGAACGACGGCAAGUGUUUGCCGUAAGCUUGAUCCUUUAAGCACCAUUUCGUGAUGAAAUUGGAUAUGAUUUUAAGUGCAAUGUGUGAAGAUAUAGAAGGUGUGUAGCAAAAAAAGUUUUGGCAAUUUACAACAACAACAAAAAGGUUACAACCUUUACAGAACAGGAGACAUCAAUGUGGCUUUUAGUAACUGAUACGUGACUAAUUUAAUGUGCAUUGCCAAUGCCAUGAAAGAAGAGCAAAAAAAUGGCAACCCCUUUUGUUUAAAAGCAAAAAUGAACAAAUUAAAGAAUGAAAUAAUAAAAAUCCAA